ACGCUGGCGGCGUGCCUAAUACAUGCAAGUAGAACGCUGAAGGAGGAGCUUGCUCUUCUGGAUGAGUUGCGAACGGGUGAGUAACGCGUAGGUAACCUGCCUGGUAGCGGGGGAUAACUAUUGGAAACGAUAGCUAAUACCGCAUAAGAGUAGAUGUUGCAUGACAUUUGCUUAAAAGGUGCAAUUGCAUCACUACCAGAUGGACCUGCGUUGUAUUAGCUAGUUGGUGGGGUAACGGCUCACCAAGGCGACGAUACAUAGCCGACCUGAGAGGGUGAUCGGCCACACUGGGACUGAGACACGGCCCAGACUCCUACGGGAGGCAGCAGUAGGGAAUCUUCGGCAAUGGACGGAAGUCUGACCGAGCAACGCCGCGUGAGUGAAGAAGGUUUUCGGAUCGUAAAGCUCUGUUGUAAGAGAAAGAAACGAGUGUGAGAGUGGAAAG
rnacentral:rRNA from 1 species